rnacentral:rRNA from 1 species
AGCAGCCGCGGUAAUUCCAGCUCCAAUAGCGUAUAUUAAAGUUGUUGCAGUUAAAAAGCUCGUAGUUGAAUUUCGGGAUCAAGUCGUCGGUCGUGCCUCGGUACGCACUGGUGACAUUGGUUUCUCCCUUCUGAAGAACCUUGAUGUCAUUAAUUUGGUGUCUUGGGAAAUCAGGACUGUUACUUUGAAAAAAAUUGAGUGUUUAAAGCAGGCUCACGCUUGAAUACAUUAGCAUGGAAUAAUGAAAUAGGACGUUUGAUUCUAUUUUGUUGGUUUCUAGGAUCGACGUAAUGAUUAAUAGGGAUAGUUGGGGGCAUUAGUAUUCAAUUGUCAGAGGUGAAAUUUCUUGGAUUUAUUGAAGACUAACUACUGCGAAAGCAUUUGCCAAGGAUGUUUUCAUUAAUCAAGAACGAAAGUUAGGGAUCGAAGACGAAUCAGAUACCGUCGUAGUCUUAACCAUAAACUAUGCCGACUAGGGAUCGGAUGAUGUUAAUUUUUAAUGACUCAUUCGGNGCCUUAA